rnacentral:sRNA from 1 species
AGAGAAUAUUCGAUUAUUAGUUGAGGAUAAAGAAGAUGAAGUGGCUGAUUUGAAACAAGACACGGAGUCGCUGCAAAAGCAAUUGGAAGAAAAUCAGGAGGAGCUGGAGAUUGUUGGAAAUAUGUUGAGAGAAGAACAAGGAAAAG